GACACGGGAUGCUUACGCCGCGGUGAGUAGGAGGGUCGCAGCGGCGAGCGUUGAAGGUGCCGGGCGCGAGCCCGCCUGGAGCCGCCGCUGGUGCAGAUCUUGGUGGUAGUAGCAAAUACUCAAGUGAGAACCUUGAGGACUGAGGUGGAGAAGGGUUCCAUGUGAACAGCAGUUGAACAUGGGUCAGUCGGUCCUAAGGGAUAGGAGAAAUCCGUUCCGAAGCGGGUGUUUUUUAAAACGUCGUGCCCGCCGGUCGACCGAAAGGGAAUCGGGUUAAUAUUCCCGAACCCG
rnacentral:rRNA from 1 species